AACAAGAGCGAAACUCCAUCUCAAAAAAAAAAAAAGAAAAGAAAAAAGAAGAGAGAGAUUCUACAGAGACAUAUUGGAGCUCGCUCAAAUGUGAGCCACCAGAUAAGGGCUGCUGGAAGGAGGCGAAGAAAGAUGACUCAGAACAUGACAUCUGUCUUCAUGUGAAAGAAUGGGUAGAACUGAUGUGGCACUACGAAUUAUCUGUAGGGCAAAGGACUGGAAGUUAAUUGAAGAUAGAUUUUAAUUCAAAACAAGGAUCAGUUCUUUAAGAGUCUGAAGAAGGGUUAUUUUAGGAAGUAGCUGCCUCUGCCCCCUUCCCACCUGUUGCAGUGGAUCAAAUAUACACUGAAUCACUACCUCAUUCAUUCAACACUCAUUUCAUGAAGGCUUAACGCAUUGCUGUGGGGCUUACUCUGCCGCCGACCUGGGGCCUAGCUAGGCUUUGUAGUCUAUAUAGUCUCAUAGUCCUGCAAACUGGCUCCAGCCCAGGAAAUCACCCUGUGUAGGAGUGGCUGCAGUCAAGACGCAGGAAGACAAUCCUGAGGGGACCUGACAUCCAGCAUCUGAGUUCAGACUACUAUAGUUUGAAUAAGUGACCUGCAGAUUCAUUACACACAAGGGAACAUGUCUUCCUUUUGUUGGAUUGAACUCUGUGAUACCAAGCAGUCAAAACUACCUGUCAGAUGUCCAAUCCCUGAUCCAGAAUUUCAAGGAGCUGUGGAGGCAGCUGUACAAUGGGAGUGUCAUAAACCAGAGAACUUUGUGUCCAGGCUAUGUCUAUUAGGUGAGUAUAUGGUGAGAAGGCAGCUGUCUGUGAACCAGAAGGAGGGCCCUCACCAAGAAGUGACCAUGCUGGCACCCUGAUCUUGGACUUCUGGCAUCUGGAACUAUCUAGCUAGUUUAAAGAUGAAAACUGCAGCAGAUGAGAAAGAAAAAUACAACUGGAAAACUUGGAUGAAUUAGAAACACUAAACAGUUUUCAGGAAAGCUGAGUAUCAGAGAAAAACAGAUGCUGGAGGAAAAGAAAAAAAGAGGACACAAAAACUGUCCUGGCCAAAGGGGUCAUGACCACACAUUAUCCUUGGAUGAGGGCUUCCUUUAUGGUGACAAUUGAACAGAAGCAUUUAGAGCAGAUUACAAUGCAUAUUAUACGUACAAUGAAAUCAUUGAAACAGAAAAAAGAGCCAAAAUUGAUGUCUUUGCCUUAAAUCUUGCUUCUUUCUAGUUUAUUCUCUCCACAGUGGUCGGGGCAGUCUGAGAGAAUACGGUGGAAUCGAUGGUAUGCGACUUCCAAGGUUAGGUCAUAAAAGACAUUGAAGUUUCUGCUUUGUCUCUUGAAUCACUUUCUCUGGGGGAAACCAGCUACUGGGUCAUAAGGACACUCAAGCAGCACCAUGGAGGGGCCCAAGUGGAGAGAAACCAACUUGCCAGCAUUAACUUGGUAGUUGUGCAGCCAUGUGAAUGAGUGGAUCCUACCAUCCUAGUCAAACCUCUGAUAACUGAAGGUCCCACCUAUAUUUGACUGCAGUCUUCCAACAGACCCCACCCAAGCUGCUCUAGGAUUCCUGACCUACAGAAACUGUGAGGGAUAAGAUAUGCUUGUUGUUUUAACCCACUAAGUUUUAGAGUGAUUUGUUACACAGCAAUAUACAACAAAUACACAAGUCAUCACAGAAAGUUUGCUUGCUUUCAAGCCUGGAACGCCUGGGACCUUCAGUGAACCUCUUCCUCAGAUACAUGCCUGCGUAGUGUCAACUUGCUCUAUUGCUGGGAAGUGCUUGGCUGAUUAUCUUCUUCCUGCCCUGGGAGAUGUCUCACUAAUCAUUCAUUCAUUCAGCAAACAUUACAACGUUCCAGGCACUGUGCUAACUACUGAAUAUUCAGUGAUAUAGGAUAAAAUCUCUGUCCUAAAGUUGCUUGCAGUCAGAUGGGAGAAAAGCAAGUAAAUACAACAAUUUGUGAGCUUUAAAAAAGACCUAUAACAUCUUGUGAAGGAGGGGCAGAACUUAUCAUCCUCAACUAACAUAGAGAAAAUUGUCUCAUAGAGCAGGAGCUGAUAGCCCUUGGCUUUCUGGAUGGAGGAGACAGCAAUGGAGUGGAGGGAUUUCUCAGGAAUCUCCCCCAGGGGCUGCUCUAC
rnacentral:lncRNA from 1 species